rnacentral:rRNA from 1 species
GGACUACUGGGGUAUCUAAUCCUGUUUGCUCCCCACGCUUUCGCGCCUCAGCGUCAGUUACAGCCCAGAGAGUCGCCUUCGCCACUGGUGUUCCUCCACAUAUCUACGCAUUUCACCGCUACACGUGGAAUUCCACUCUCCUCUUCUGCACUCAAGCUCCCCAGUUUCCAGUGCGACCCGAAGUUGAGCCUCGGGAUUAAACACCAGACUUAAAGAGCCGCCUGCGCGCGCUUUACGCCCAAUAAUUCCGGACAACGCUUGCCCCCUACGUAUUACCGCGGCGGCUGGCAC